UUCUAUUAUAAAUACGACGUAGGCCCUACGUUGCAACGGACUUUUGACCAGAAGGAACUUAGGAAAGGGCGUGUUGUUAGAGCUCCGAAUAUUUACCAAACAAUUCUUCUACUGUCUAGAUUUUGUGGUACUAAACAGUACAGUACUUGAGCGAAAAAAAAGGCUGUCCUUGUAUUUUCACGUUUUCACUCCGAACAAGACACUUUGAACUCGCUCUACAGAGAAGUCGACAGUCGACGUUUUUUUUCUCUACAGUUCAUUUUUGGUCGGACAUGUGUCAAGAAGUAAUGGAUACCAGAUCGAAACACAUUAAGACCAACUGCCUGCGGAAAACCAUGAAACCUGGAUCCAGAUUGAGAUGGAAACUGCCUCGUGUCACCGCGGAGGGGGAUGCGGCCUUCAAGAAGUGUUUAAGCGACUCUGUGAGGACCUUCCGAAAAUGCCUCCGACGGCAACAGAGGCGGGCCCAGCUGGCUAAACUCGCCAACGCCCUGGGAAACAUCGGGAAGAAAGAGAAGAAGCAAUCCGUUUGCGAGGAAACCCCCAAUGUGGCCUGUAUGCUACCUCAACCAUCGGGGGCAAUGGCGCCGCCUAACACCACGCAGUACCUUAUGGGUAAUGUGUACGACGACUUAAAGACGAACUACAUCCAGACAGUCUCGCAUGCUACAUCUCCACAUCAUGAUAGUGAAUUUGUUUCACCCAGUGUAUGUGAUGCACCAGACUCUGAUUACGAUAGCUGUCUUGCCUUUCAGCAGAGGGACUUUGAGGAAGUGUUUGACCUGUACUGGUAACCGGAUUGAACUGGUCUGGCCGCCUCUCCAGCCGAGACUUGCCGAUAAGGGCAAAUAAAAGCGGCGCACUGGAUGGUGCCCGCCCAGUAGGGAGAUUCCUGAGCCCUGUGUGGCGCCGCCCAGAGGAAUGAAACAAUCGCACUUCGGCUUUCGCCUGGCACGGAUUGUGAAAUCCAGGUAAACCCGGGCAGGUAUUGUGUUGCACUGCAUUGUCAUUGAACAGUACAGUAACAACAGAACAGUAGUACAUUGUGUUGCGAUGUUGGGCCUUUGCACAGUUACUGUUGUCUGAGCGUUUUCCAGGUCGAAUUCCUGCCGGGACACGUGACUCUGCUGCGAGAGGCGCAAGCGACCAAGGAGCUCUUCCGUCACGUGACUGACAUAAGGUGACAUUUAAUGCCCAUUGGUUAUUUUGACUGUUUUCAAGAAGGUUACAGUCCAGCUGAUGACAUAGAUGUAAACUGUGUUAAAAGUGAAAAUAUAAAGUGAUUUAUCCUGAGUUUUAAAGGGUAGUAAUGUUCAAUAAAAUGUGCUUCCUAAUGAAAAA